GGAGCGCGGAGCGCAGGGUCGGUGCUCAGAAGGCAGAAGGAGGAGGAGGAGGAGGAGGAGGAGGAGGAGGAGAGGCUGGUGCUGCUGCUGCUGCAUGGGCGGGGGAGGGCGCGAAGCUCGCCCAGGCCAUUUCCUCGCCCGGCCGCCCGCCCACCUGGCAGCCUCAAUGAUCGUUGGCCGGCGCCGGCCUUGGGAGCGCGUCUUUGGGGGGGAGCGGAGCGGCCCCGGCGGGCGCUGUUAGGGCCGGGAUGCUGCUGCAGCAGUUGCAGCAGGAGCAGCAGCAACUGCAGCAGCAGCAGCAGCAGCUGCAGCAGCAGCAGCAGCAGCAGCGGGCGUCGGCGGGGGGCUCGGGGAGCGGGCGACCCCCGGCCGGCAACAUGCACGCCCCGCACAAGGACACCACCUUCACCAAGAUCUUCGUCGGCGGGCUGCCCUACCACACCACCGACUCCUCCCUGAGGAACUACUUCGAGGUCUUCGGGGACAUCGAGGAGGCCGUGGUCAUCACCGACCGGCAGACCGGCAAAUCCCGGGGCUAUGGUUUCGUGACAAUGGCAGACAGAGCUGCAGCGGAAAGAGCUUGUAAAGAUCCCAACCCCAUCAUAGAUGGCCGAAAAGCAAAUGUUAACCUGGCCUAUUUGGGAGCAAAGCCAAGGAGUAUUCAGACUGGUUUUACAAUUGGUGUGCAGCAGCUACACCCAGCCUUUAUUCAGAGGCCGUACGGGCUCACUCCUCACUAUAUUUACCCACAAGCCAUCGUCCAGCCCAGCGUGGUGAUCCCAACGCCCGUCACGUCUCCGUACAUCGACUACACUACUGCAAGCCAGGCCUACGCUCAGUACACCACAGCUGCCUAUGACCAGUAUCCCUACGCUGCGUCUCCUGCUGCCGGAUUUGUGGGCUACGGCUUCACCAGCGCACUCCAGCAGCCCCUAACAGCCAGCAACCCCACCACGGCGUUUGUCCAGUAUCAGCCCCAGCAACUGCAGCCAGACCGGAUCCAGUAAGAGGCCAGCUGGGCCAGACAGCUUACACAAUGGGAGGGAGCAACGAGAUGCCCAAACAAUGAUAGAAAAAAAAAAAAGGAGCCAAAAAUAGCCAGAAAAAAAAGCAAAAAAAACCCACAAAAAAACAAAUCCAACAAACUUGUUAGGUGCAUAUGAAUACCUAAGCUAUUUAUAUAAUAUUAGGGGUUGUAGAACCCUUAAAAUAUUGACUACGUUCAUGGAGGAGAAAAAAGAAAAAUAACAUUAUGAAGAUGUACUGAAAAGAAACAAACCUACAAGUACUUGCACACUUCAGUGGUCUGCUCCCAUCGCCUAUCUUCUUCCUUCCCCCCCUUCCUUUUCCGUCAACCUGAAAACCUGCUGUUUACUAUGAGGUACAAAAAGGUACUCAGAGAAUAUGAGAAACAAUCUUAUUUUUUGGUUGUACAAAAACUUUUUAAUACUCAGAUGCCUUACUGAAAAAACAAAACUAUUUUUGAAUAUUUAUUGCGACUUUAUUCGCAUGAGCUGUGAAUUGCAGACGGAAGAUUGGUAACCAUGCUGCUUCCCACUGAUUCCAUUGGCUGUCAUCAUCAAUCCUUCAGCACAGGUACUUGGGAACAAAUGUUUACGGCAGAAAUGAGUGCACACUCAGUGGAUGUUUGCUGUGUAUUUUGGUGAGGAGGGUGUUAGGGACCGAGGGAACUCUGUUUAACAACGCUAACCUGUUUGGAGACAGAGCGCCAGGGUGUUGGAAGAAACGGCUCGAGUGUAUGCCCAUGACAUUGGAGUUGGUGAGCACCUGCAGCGUGAGCUUUCCUUAAUGUGGGGUUCUGCAGGAACACAACCCAGCCUUUGUAGGCAAAGUGGUUGUAACGAGACAACUCACAAAUCGAGAAUGAAAACCUGGCUAGUCCAAGAUGGUUGGUAAUCCUGAAGAUUAGGUUAUACUUCCAGGUGACCCAAAUGAAAUUAAAUUUAACUAAGCCAGUUUCUUCUUUUUGUUGUACCUACCACUUCUCUAUCCUUCCUCAGAUAUAGUAUGCUCACCCACCUCUCAUCUCAGUGUUCACCUCGUGCCAAAACAUAUGGUGACCUGAGGGAAACCUCCAACUUCAUUUGAUCAAUUCCAGGAGAACCCUUAGGCUGGAUUUCACCCUAACACAGCCAAUCAGUGAUAUUUGCUGAGUGCUUACUCUGUAUAAAACACUUUACUGAAUGCCUAGAAAAGUACAAUAGAGUAGGUAAACGUGGUCCUUACCCUCAAGUGCUUUCAACUUAUUUUUGCUUGGGCCCAACUGGUUCUGGGCCUUCCAUCUUUAAUUUCCCUCCUCAUAUAAUGGGCACAUACCAAAGCUCAGAUACAUGUAAACGGAUAGACUUAAUUCAAAGAGGGUGUCUUCUAGAUUGGCAUCAAAUCCCAUCUUUGUUUUUUGUGGUGAGUUACCCUCCAGACAUGGAACAACAUUCUCAGGUUCUACUUGGAAGGCCUCCAUGGCACAACGAUGAGUCAUACAGACCAGUUGGGGCCCUGCCCUAAAGUCAUUAAGCAGAUUGAAAUAAAUGUAUGUAUUUUUCCUGUAAUCUCCAAAAGGCUCUUUAAAUGAUCCUUUUAUUGCAUGUUAGAGGGCUGCAUAAUGUCAUUUCUAUCAUUUUCAGAUAGUUCUAAUCCAAAAAUGAAAAUUCUGGAAGAUGUCCUUUGGAGACCAUUGUUCCUGCAUUUUUAAAGUUUUAUUGAGCUACUUC